AGUGAACGCUGGCGGUAGGCCUAACACAUGCAAGUCGAACGGCAGCACAGUAAGAGCUUGCUCUUACGGGUGGCGAGUGGCGGACGGGUGAGGAAUACAUCGGAAUCUACUUUUUCGUGGGGGAUAACGUAGGGAAACUUACGCUAAUACCGCAUACGACCUACGGGUGAAAGCAGGGGAUCUUCGGACCUUGCGCGAUUGAAUGAGCCGAUGUCGGAUUAGCUAGUUGGCGGGGUAAAGGCCCACCAAGGCGACGAUCCGUAGCUGGUCUGAGAGGAUGAUCAGCCACACUGGAACUGAGACACGGUCCAGACUCCUAAGGGAGGCAGCAGUGGGGAAUAUUGGACAAUGGGCGCAAGCCUGAUCCAGCCAUACCGCGUGGGUGAAGAAGGCCUUCGGGUUGUAAAGACCUUUUGUUGGGAAAGAAAAGCAGCAGGUUAAUACCCCGCUGUUCUGACGGUACCCAAAGAAUAAGCACCGGCUAACUUCGUG
rnacentral:rRNA from 1 species